rnacentral:lncRNA from 1 species
AUGCUGGAGAGGAUGUGGAGAAACAGGAAUGCUUUUACACUAUUGGUGGAAAUGUAAAUUAGUUCAACCCAUUGUGGAAGACAGUGUGGCGAUUCCUCAAGGAUCUAGAAUCAGAAAUAUCAUUUGACCCAGCAAUCCCAUUACUGGGUAUAUACCCAAAGGAUUAUAAAUCAUUCUACUAUAAAGACACAUGCACAUGUAUGUUUAUUGCAGCAUUAUUCACAAUAGCAAAAACUUGGAACCAACCUAAAUGCCCAUCGGAUUUUUAUAGUUUUGGGUUUUACAUUCAAAUCUUUAAUCCAUCUUGAGUUGAUUUUUAUAUAUGGUGUAAGGAAUAGGUCCAGUUUCAAUCUUCUGCAUAUGGCUAGCCAGUUAUCCCAGUAGCAUUUACUGAAUAGGGUGUCCUUUCCCCAUUGCUUGUUUUUGUCAGGUUUGUCAAAGAUCAGAUAGUUGUAAGUGUACCCCCAUUAUUUCUGGAUUCUCUAACUUGUUCCAUUUGUCUAUGUGUCUGUUUUUGUACAAGUACCAUGCUGUUUUAGCUACUAUAGCCUUGUAGUGCAGUUUAAAGUCAGGUGGUGUGAUGUCUCCAGCUGUGUUCUUUUUGUUUAGGAUUGCUUUGGCUAUUUGGGCUCUUUUUUGAAUAUUAGAACUCUUACAUCCAUAUUUUAUGUCUCCAGUUUUCUACUCACAUAUCUUUGUACUGUGUUACUACUGUGUUUUGGGAUAAUUUUUUUAUCUCAAUUUUCAAGCUAAGUUAUUUGAUAUUUAUGUUUUUCCGUUCUAUUUAAUCUAUAUAUUGAAUUAUUUAAAUCGAGUUAUAUUUUAAACUUCUAAUUAUUUCUAAAAUAAUUUUACCUUUUUCAAUACCAUAACUGUUCUAUUUUAUGGAUACAAUAUUCUCACAUCUCUCUCCCUCUCUCUGUGUGUGUUUGUGUGCAUUUAUGUGUUUUCUGCUGUUUCCUUGAUGUAGCAGAUAUUCAUUAGUAUCAUUUUCUGCAUCUUCCUUGGUGAGAGAAAGUUCAUAUUGCUGAGUCAUGCAUCACUUCCAUCUCGGCUAUCAUGCCAGUAAGUUUCUAUGCU